GAUGAACGCUGGCGGUAUGCUUAACACAUGCAAGUCGAACGGACUCUUCGGAGUUAGUGGCGGACGGGUGCGUAACGCGUGAGAAUCUGGCUUUGGGUUCGGGACAACCACUGGAAACGGUGGCUAAUACCGGAUGUGCCGAUCGGUAAAAGAGAAAUUGCCUGAAGAUGAGCUCGCGUCUGAUUAGCUAGUUGGUGAGGUAAAGGCUCACCAAGGCAGCGAUCAGUAGCUGGUCUGAGAGGAUGACCAGCCACACUGGGACUGAGACACGGCCCAGACUCCUACGGGAGGCAGCAGUGGGGAAGUUUACGCAAUGGGCGGCAGCCUGACGGAGCAGUACCGCGGGGGGGAAGAAGGCUCUUGGGUUGUAAACCUCUUUUCUUAGGGAAGAACAUAAUGACGGUACCUAAGGAAUCAGCAUCGGCUAACUCCGUG
rnacentral:rRNA from 1 species